CUACGGGGUGCAGCAGUGAGGAAUAUUGCACAAUGGGGGGAAGGCUGAUGCAGCAACGCCGCGUGGAGGAGGCCGCAUUUCGGUGUGUAAACUCCUUUUCUAGGGUAAGAAAAUGACGGUAGCAUAUGAAUAAGCACCGGCUAACUCCGUGCCAGCAGCCGCGGUAAUACGGAGGGUGCAAGCGUUACUCGGAAUCACUGGGCGUAAAGGAAGCGUAGGCGGGUUGGAAAGUCAGGUGUGAAAUCCUACAGCUUAACUGUAGAACUGCACUUGAAACUUCUAAUCUAGAGUAUGGGAGGGGGAGAUGGAAUUAGUGGUGUAGGGGUAAAAUCCGUAGAUAUCACUAGGAAUACCUAAAGCGAAGGCGAUCUCCUGGAACAUUACUGACGCUAAGGCGUGAAAGCGUGGGGAGCAAACAGGAUUAGAUACCCGAGUAGUC
rnacentral:rRNA from 1 species